rnacentral:rRNA from 1 species
CCUACGGGAGGCAGCAGUGGGGAAUAUUGGGCAAUGGGCGCAAGCCUGACCCAGCAACGCCGCGUGAAGGAAGAAGGCUUUCGGGUUGUAAACUUCUUUUGUCAGGGAAGAGUAGAAGACGGUACCUGACGAAUAAGCCACGGCUAACUACGUGCCAGCAGCCGCGGUAAUACGUAGGUGGCAAGCGUUGUCCGGAUUUACUGGGUGUAAAGGGCGUGUAGCCGGGUUGACAAGUCAGAUGUGAAAUCCUGGGGCUUAACCGCAGAACUGCAUUUGAAACUGUUGAUCUUGAGUACUGGAGAGGCAGACGGAAUUCCUGGUGUAGCGGUGAAAUGCGUAGAUAUUAGGAGGAACACCAGUGGCGAAGGCGACUAUCUGGCACAUAACUGACGCUGAGGAGCGAAAGCGUGGGGAGCAAACAGGAUUAGAUACCCUUGUAGUC